rnacentral:misc_RNA from 1 species
GGAAGUAAAAGCCGUAACAAGGUCUCCGUUGGUGAACCAGCGGAGGGAUCAUUACAGGAUCGAAAGACUCCUAUAACCCCUGUGAACUUACUACAAAUACGUUGCUUCGGCGGGUGCCCCGGGUCUCCCGGGGCGUUCAGCCCGCCGGCAGCCUUCAAAUUCUGUUUCUUUGCGUUGGCAUCUCGAGUAUACAAAAAUAAGUUAAAACUUUCAACAACGGAUCUCUUGGUUCUG